rnacentral:lncRNA from 1 species
CUCUGGCUGGGCAUAGUGGCAUGCAGUUUAGCUUGUUUUACUAGGAAGAAAGUAUUCAAGGACUAACGGGGGUAAUGUCAAAAUUGUAUCAAUAAAAAAUUAAGAAGCCAAAAAAGGAAACAGAGUGCCUAAAUAAAUAGAGAGACACAUCAUGUUCAUGAAUUAGAAGACUCAAUAUUGUUGAGAAGUCAAUUCUCCUCAAAUUAUUUGUGGAUUCAAUGCAAUCCCAAUCAAAAUGCCCGCAGUCUUUUUUUGUAGAAGCU